rnacentral:lncRNA from 1 species
AUGUCGUUACUAUCUAGAGCCAUCAUCAUUUAACCUUUGGGAACAUUGGCUAUAGUGGUUCGAUCUAUUGUGCCAAGUUUAUUUGCUUGUACCAGCAAGUCGCUACGACCUCACAUACCUCGGUAUCAUUGUUAGGGAAGGCUUAAGACUAUUGAGAACAUAUUGUUAUGGUAGUAAACCAUCUAGAACUUCUAUGAUAGUAUAGGAGCCAUGGAGGCUUGUCUUGAAGCAUUCUCAAGUUCGAGAUCAAAGUUUGAGUGCUUCAAGAAUUUCAAAAGGUAGAGUGAAUUCAUGCAAGCAUGAAUAAAAGCACC